rnacentral:lncRNA from 1 species
AAAAACACCAAGCGCCGCCCUCAAUCCCAAUUCUCUAAUUUUUUUUAAGCAAAAAACCAUUCACAACAAUGAGCAACGAACACCUCUCAAUGUCUUUCUCUUUUCAUUCAGCAUUAUUUUUUUUCUAAGGAAAAAAUACUAAACCAUUCCAAUACUCACCAUUCUUUUUCAUUGAUCCUAGCCUAUCUCACUGCAACUUACAUGAAACUACAAACAACACUCCAUAUCUAUCUUCCUUCAUUUUAAAAUCACAUGAAGCCACUCUUAGUUUCCAAAUACUAUCAAUGCAAACCUCCGCCUAAACACAACAAACCACCGUGUAGAAACCGAAAACGCAACCUGCAUUAAUAACAACAUUGCGUGUAGAUUCCGCCGGCAACCACCAUUGUUCUGUCAACACUGUGCAGAGCCUAUAUUUUUCUUCACCGGAUCUAAACGUCUCACCGUGGAAGAGAAAAAUCUAUUUAUUUUGGUGAGAAGUAUAAGGACAACUUUAAUAUUUGUGACUUAAGAAAUAAGCUUUGAGAAGGGAAGAAACUUUUCUUUAUUUCUAGUUUUAAAUUUCAAACUGAACAAUGUCAACUUUAAUUGUUUAUUUUCAUAUUUAUCCAUUAUGAUAGUUUUAUUUGUGCUUUUAGUAUUUAAGGGCCAAAUAUCUAUUUUAAUGAAAGUGGAUUGUUGGUUUGUGAUUUCAUUCACCGUGUAUCAUGCAUAUUUUCUGAUCUAUGAUUUUUUAUUGCUUAAUAUUUUUUUUUAAUUAAAUGUCAUUUUAUUAUAAAUUGAUGGCUGGCUUAUAACGUUGUCAGGAGAAGAAAUAUUUCAUUAUCCAAAACUGAUUUUUUUUUUGUCAUUAGUGUUUAUGAUGAGAUUUAGACUAUUAAUGUGGUGGAUCUUGGCCUUUAAGUCUUGCACCUUCCCUUUUUUUCCUUUCGGUAUACACC